UACGUAGGGGGCAAGCGUUGUCCGGAUUUAUUGGGCGUAAAGAGCGUGUAGGCGGCUUUACAGGUCCGUUGUGAAAACUCGAGGCUCAACCUCGAGACGCCGGUGGAAACCGUAAAGCUAGAGUCCGGAAGAGGAGAGUGGAAUUCCUGGUGUAGCGGUGAAAUGCGUAGAUAUCUGGAGGAAGACCAGUGGCGAAGGCGGGUCUCUGGACAGUUCCUGACGCUGAGGCGCGAAGGCCAGGGGAGCAAACGGG
rnacentral:rRNA from 1 species